rnacentral:rRNA from 1 species
CCUACGGGGGGCUGCAGUGGGGAAUAUUGGACAAUGGGGGCAACCCUGAUCCAGCCAUGCCGCGUGUGUGAAGAAGGCCCUCGGGUUGUAAAGCACUUUCAGUGAGGAAGAACGCCUGGUGGUUAAUACCCAUCAGGAAAGACAUCACUCACAGAAGAAGCACAGGCUAACUCCGUGCCAGCAGCCGCGGUAAUACGGAGGGUGCGAGCGUUAAUCGGAAUUACUGGGCGUAAAGCGCGCGUAGGUGGCUUGAUAAGCCGGUUGUGAAAGCCCCGGGCUCAACCUGGGAACGGCAUCCGGAACUGUCAAGCUAGAGUGCAGGAGAGGAAGGUAGAAUUCCCGGUGUAGCGGUGAAAUGCGUAGAGAUCGGGAGGAAUACCAGUGGCGAAGGCGGCCUUCUGGACUGACACUGACACUGAGGUGCGAAAGCGUGGGUAGCAAACAGGAUUAGAUACCCUAGUAGUC